CCUACGGGCGGCAGCAGUGGGGAAUAUUGCACAAUGGGCGCAAGCCUGAUGCAGCCAUGCCGCGUGUGUGAAGAAGGCCUUCGGGUUGUAAAGCACUUUCAGCGGGGAGGAAGGCGGUGAGGUUAAUAACCUCAUCGAUUGACGUUACCCGCAGAAGAAGCACCGGCUAACUCCGUGCCAGCAGCCGCGGUAAUACGGAGGGUGCAAGCGUUAAUCGGAAUUACUGGGCGUAAAGCGCACGCAGGCGGUCUGUCAAGUCGGAUGUGAAAUCCCCGGGCUCAACCUGGGAACUGCAUUCGAAACUGGCAGGCUAGAGUCUUGUAGAGGGGGGUAGAAUUCCAGGUGUAGCGGUGAAAUGCGUAGAGAUCUGGAGGAAUACCGGUGGCGAAGGCGGCCCCCUGGACAAAGAUUGACGCUCAGGUGCGAAAGCGUGGGGAGCAAACAGGAUUAGAUACCCGAGUAGUC
rnacentral:rRNA from 1 species